UCCUGGGGCUGAAGUAGGUCCCAAGGGUAUGGCUGUUCGCCAUUUAAAGUGGUACGCGAGCUGGGUUUAGAACGUCGUGAGACAGUUCGGUCCCUAUCUGCCGUGGGCGCUGGAGAACUGAGGGGGGCUGCUCCUAGUACGAGAGGACCGGAGUGGACGCAUCACUGGUGUUCGGGUUGUCAUGCCAAUGGCACUGCCCGGUAGCUAAAUGCGGAAGAGAUAAGUGCUGAAAGCAUCUAAGCACGAAACUUGCCCCGAGAUGAGUUCUCCCUGAGACUUAAAGUCUCCUGAAGGAACGUUGAAGACGACGACGUUGAUAGGCCGGGUGUGUAAGCGCAGCGAUGCGUUGAGCUAACCGGUACUAAUGAACCGUGAGGCUUAACCUUACAACGCCGAAG
rnacentral:rRNA from 1 species